rnacentral:rRNA from 1 species
CCUACGGGCGGCAGCAGUGAGGAAUAUUGGUCAAUGGACGAGAGUCUGAACCAGCCAAGUAGCGUGAAGGAUGACUGCCCUAUGGGUUGUAAACUUCUUUUAUAUGGGAAUAAAACAGGGUAUGCAUACCCUCUUGUAUGUACCAUAUGAAUAAGGAUCGGCUAACUCCGUGCCAGCAGCCGCGGUAAUACGGAGGAUCCGAGCGUUAUCCGGAUUUAUUGGGUUUAGAGGGAGCGUAGGUGGAUUGUUAAGUCAGUUGUGAAAGUUUGCGGCUCAACCGUAAAAGUGCAGUUGAAACUGGCAGUCGUGAGUGCAGUUGAGGUAGGCGGAAUGCGUGGUGUAGCGGUGAAAUGCUUAGAUAUCACGAAGAACUCCGAUUGCGAAGGCAGCUCACUGGACUGCAACUGACACUGAUGCUCGAAAGUGUGGGUAUCAAACAGGAUUAGAUACCCUUGUAGUC